GUUUUCUAUCGCGUGUUGUGAAACAAACAUCAGCAUGUUAAGGGACUUCUACGCAUUUAACAGGCAAUUGAAAACGGGGAACUAUCCUAGCGUGGAGAAAGUCUCUAUAGCGGUGGAUAAACAGUCAAUACGGUUUUCUCUGUGUUGGAGUAGACUUAUCAGCAAGAUAGUCUGAUGUACCUGCUGGACAACUUACUCCCUGCCAAGCACCUUCUACACAAACAACAGCAGCAUGCCUGUAGUGUUGAGUCUGACUGAGUGUUUUGAGAGUGCCCUCUCUCUGUUGGAGGGUAAACUGCAGUCUAUGGACACAGCACCACUACCAGACUGUAUCAAG
ensembl:lncRNA